CUCAAGAUGAGAUUUCCCAUAGCGUUAAGCUAGUAAGACCCCUGAGAGACGAUCAGGUUGAUAGGUCAGAGGUGGAAGCGUGGUGACACGUGGAGCUGACUGAUACUAAUCGGUCGAGGACUUAACUA
rnacentral:rRNA from 1 species